AUUGAACGCUGGCGGCAUGCCUUACACAUGCAAGUCGAACGGUAACAGGUUAAGCUGACGAGUGGCGAACGGGUGAGUAAUGUAUCGGAACGUGCCCAGUCGUGGGGGAUAACUGCUCGAAAGAGCAGCUAAUACCGCAUACGACCUGAGGGUGAAAGCGGGGGAUCGCAAGACCUCGCGCGAUUGGAGCGGCCGAUAUCAGAUUAGGUAGUUGGUGAGGUAAAGGCUCACCAAGCCGACGAUCUGUAGCUGGUCUGAGAGGACGACCAGCCACACUGGGACUGAGACACGGCCCAGACUCCUACGGGAGGCAGCAGUGGGGAAUUUUGGCCAAUGGGCGCAAGCCUGAUCCAGCCAUGCCGCGUGCGGGAAGAAGGCCUUCGGGUUGUAAACAGCUUUUGUCAGGGAAGAAAAGGUUCUGGCUAAUACCUGGGACUCAUGACGGUACCUGAAGAAUAAGCACCGGCUAACUACGUG
rnacentral:rRNA from 1 species